CCUUUGUCAUUACUUAACACCCGGACAGGAUCCAACUGGCUCACUUAUUAAUCCCUCUUCACUCACUCUGACAUGAAUGAUCUGCUUCAGGCUGUCAGUUCUCUAUUCUCAGUUUGGAUGGUUUCAAACGUACCAGACAUGUGGUCUGUACAGUAUUAAUCAGGCAAAUUGUGAGUAUGUAGGAUUGGACUGAAAUGCUGAAUGUGUGAGUCAGUUAUGACAAGAAUUUGCAGAGUCAUGUUCAGACAGACAGCUUGAGCUCCUGGGAAACAAAUGAACAAACAAAAACAAAACAACAACAAACCAACGAGCGAGGCCACUCACACCUGGAUAGAGAGAUGAAGCUUGAAGUGGAAACUUGGAGCAAAUUGCACCAUGACAGCUACAUACAGAGAAAGAGCUUGCAUGUUUGGAAUCACAGAAAAGAAACAUGCUGUGUCUUGAAAGGUUCAGUACUGACUGUGUGCAAUGCAUGUGAAGCACCUGCACCAAGUCAUGGAGCCGAUUACAAAUGUGCUGACUUCAGAGGCUUUGGGACAGUUUCAGAGAGUUGAAGUCAUUCCUUUAUGUUUCUGCAACGUUCAGAAGAGCAAGGAGGGAGCUGUGAGUCAUGCAUAAUGAAUUCCUGGUACAGAGCAGGACUCCAAGGUGGAAUGCUCUCAAAGGCCCUUCUAAGGAUCAUUACUGCUGCACAUUUUACUGAAGUCCAAAAGGAAGGAGUGGAAGUCAGAAGCCAAAGUGAUUCUGCUAGUGUCUGCAGAUGUUUCUACAAGAAUAAGAGAAAGUGCCAGAGAGGCAGCGGUGGAAACAAGGAAGAGUACGUCUGGCUUUCUGAAGGGAAUCUUUGUUUUUUCUUCAAUAAUUAUUUGCAUAAGUGCCGGCCUCAGAGUGGGUUUAAUGCCUUAAAACAGAAUUUCAGGUGA
rnacentral:lncRNA from 1 species